AGCGGGCAGGAGGUGGAUGGCACAGAACAACCGCAGUGCAGACACCACGGCCUGAGGCCCCGAAUGCAGUUCAGCAGCACCCGCUGCGGUGAUAUGUGCGGGGCCCUUAAGGGGCCCUUUGAGAAACCCCGGUGGCACUGGCCGAAUGCCUGGAACUGCAUGUGUUACGUGAAAACAAGUCUGGAGCGAGCAGGCGAAUCUGUCCCCUGAUGUCUGGGAAAGGGAGUGAGCCCGGUAAUCCAGGAGUGUGGGACAGUCAAG